rnacentral:misc_RNA from 1 species
AAUAAUAAUAAUAAAAUCUCACUUCUAAAAGAUAAGCUUAAUAGCAUCAUAUGAUCUCUAACCUUAAUAAUGGCAUGCUUGAGUUUCCAAUAUAGAAUUACAGCUAACUUUACACUCUUUGCCAUCAUGUCUUCUCUACUUAUUUGCCCAUUUUCACCAUGUGACCCUUGGUUUUCUAUUGUUUGAACGUAAGUGCUUUCAAUUAAUUAAUGAUAUGAUAUGUUUUUCGCACCACAUUUCAGUUAAUAGCACAUGUGCAGGUAUGGCGUUAAAU